CUCCAACGGGACGCCCACGGACCCUUCGCAGAAUUUCUGAUGCAUAAGUAGAAGUUUUCCAAAAGUGCAGCUUCUGAGGAACAACUAACCAGACUGAAGGCGCACUAUCAAACGUCACGCCGGUGAUGGCAUGUCGGCCCAGCGCCGCCGGAGGGAAGCGACUCACUCAGUACCAGACUGUCUUUAUUUAGCUCUUAAGGACAAUGCUCCAUAGUGACUGGUCACGUGACGUUCAAGUGAUUGGCUCAAAAAGUGAGCGAAGAUGGCAAAUUUGUAUCUCAAACAUCUGGGGGGUUUUGCACCAGCCAAGCAACUGCCACUGAGAUGAACAGGAAAGCUAUGAAUGAAAAACUUUCUACAGGACCACCCAUUGGGCUCGGAGGAGAGAGAUUCCCUGCACGCCGUCUCUUUGGAAUAUUAAUGGGCUUCUCCUGGGAAAACUGCCCACAGAAUGGGCCACUCCAUCGCUGUCUCUGUUUCCGCUCAGCUGUCCUGAGGGUACGUGAGGGUGUUCGGUACAAUCCGGUCUGGAGAAACCUCAAGUACACCUCAAACUUUUGUUUUGAUGUUUCAUUAGGAGCUCUUGAGGUUGAACGUUUCUUUUUCCCCCCAGAAUGUCAGUAAAAUAUAUUACCGCUUUUAUUACACAAUAAAAAGCACAGGAACGGCUACAUUUAUUAUGUCAAAUUCCUCAGUCUCAACUUUAUAACCGUAAUCAAUAAUAAGACAUAUUGAUUGAAAUGAGGGGGCCAUUAGCACGUGGGGGAUUCGGGAACAGCUCGUUUGAGCAUUGAGAAAGGUGACAAUGAUGCCGAUCACCACUGGUUUUCAUCACCGGAGCCGCAUAGUUCUUUCCCACUCGAUGGCAGAAGCCGAGACAUCUCAUCUGUUUCACCGUUAUGAGAGUGACCAUCCUAAUGGCUUCUGCAGAUGGCAGAGCUCGCUGAAGUCAUUGCUCUUUUCCUUCAAUCCCUUUCACAUUCUUUAUCUGUAUUUGACUCUCUGUCACUUGCUUUCAGUCAUUCCUCCAUUUCCUCCGUCCCAGUCUGGGUCUCUGAGGUGAGCGGUGAGUUUUCGGCAUAUUUAUGUGAAGAAUCUAGUUUUUACCAGCCUGCCAAGCUGUGAAUAAAAUAAGAUGAAUAUCAAAUGGCAGGGAAGGGCAAUUGCAAAUGGUGUUGGAAUGACGAAAAAAAGUAGAUACAACCAUUCAAAAGUAAUAUUUGGUAUAUGUGACCCUGGAGCACAAAACCAGUCUUAAGUAGCACGGAUGUAUUUGUAACAAUAGCCAAAAAUACAUUGUAUGAGUCAAAAUUUUCGAUUUUUCUUUUAUGGCAAAAAUCAUUAGUAUAGAUUUUUGUAAAUUUCCUCCCGUAAAUAUAUCAAAUCUUAAUUCUUGAUGAGUAAUAUGCAUUGCUAAGAACUUCAUUUGGACAA